CACACUAUCAUUAACUGAAUCCAUAGGUUAAUGAGGCGAACCGGGGGAACUGAAACAUCUAAGUACCCCGAGGAAAAGAAAUCAACCGAGAUUCCCCCAGUAGCGGCGAGCGAACGGGGAGCAGCCCAGAGCCUGAAUCAGUGUGUGUGUUAGUGGAAGCGUCUGGAAAGGCGCGCGAUACAGGGUGACAGCCCCGUACACAAAAAUGCACAUGCUGUGAGCUCGAUGAGUAGGGCGGGACACGUGGUAUCCUGUCUGAAUAUGGGGGGACCAUCCUCCAAGGCUAAAUACUCCUGACUGACCGAUAGUGAACCAGUACCGUGAGGGAAAGGCGAAAAGAACCCCGGCGAGGGGAGUGAAAAAGAACCUGAAACCGUGUACGUACAAGCAGUGGGAGCACGCUUAGGCGUGUGACUGCGUACCUUUUGUAUAAUGGGUCAGCGACUUAUAUUCUGUAGCAAGGUUAACCGAAUAGGGGAGCCGAAGGGAAACCGAGUCUUAACUGGGCGUUAAGUUGCAGGGUAUAGACCCGAAACCCGGUGAUCUAGCCAUGGGCAGGUUGAAGGUUGGGUAACACUAACUGGAGGACCGAACCGACUAAUGUUGAAAAAUUAGCGGAUGACUUGUGGCUGGGGGUGAAAGGCCAAUCAAACCGGGAGAUAGCUGGUUCUCCCCGAAAGCUAUUUAGGUAGCGCCUCGUGAAUUCAUCUCCGGGGGUAGAGCACUGUUUCGGCAAGGGGGUCAUCCCGACUUACCAACCCGAUGCAAACUGCGAAUACCGGAGAAUGUUAUCACGGGAGACACACGGCGGGUGCUAACGUCCGUCGUGAAGAGGGAAACAACCCAGACCGCCAGCUAAGGUCCCAAAGUCAUGGUUAAGUGGGAAACGAUGUGGGAAGGCCCAGACAGCCAGGAUGUUGGCUUAGAAGCAGCCAUCAUUUAAAGAAAGCGUAAUAGCUCACUGGUCGAGUCGGCCUGCGCGGAAGAUGUAACGGGGCUAAACCAUGCACCGAAGCUGCGGCAGCGACGCUUAUGCGUUGUUGGGUAGGGGAGCGUUCUGUAAGCCUGUGAAGGUGUGCUGUGAGGCAUGCUGGAGGUAUCAGAAGUGCGAAUGCUGACAUAAGUAACGAUAAAGCGGGUGAAAAGCCCGCUCGCCGGAAGACCAAGGGUUCCUGUCCAACGUUAAUCGGGGCAGGGUGAGUCGACCCCUAAGGCGAGGCCGAAAGGCGUAGUCGAUGGGAAACAGGUUAAUAUUCCUGUACUUGGUGUUACUGCGAAGGGGGGACGGAGAAGGCUAUGUUGGCCGGGCGACGGUUGUCCCGGUUUAAGCGUGUAGGCUGGUUUUCCAGGCAAAUCCGGAAAAUCAAGGCUGAGGCGUGAUGACGAGGCACUACGGUGCUGAAGCAACAAAUGCCCUGCUUCCAGGAAAAGCCUCUAAGCAUCAGGUAACAUCAAAUCGUACCCCAAACCGACACAGGUGGUCAGGUAGAGAAUACCAAGGCGCUUGAGAGAACUCGGGUGAAGGAACUAGGCAAAAUGGUGCCGUAACUUCGGGAGAAGGCACGCUGAUAUGUAGGUGAAGUCCCUUGCGGAUGGAGCUGAAAUCAGUCGAAGAUACCAGCUGGCUGCAACUGUUUAUUAAAAACACAGCACUGUGCAAACACGAAAGUGGACGUAUACGGUGUGACGCCUGCCCGGUGCCGGAAGGUUAAUUGAUGGGGUUNNNNNNNNNNNNNNNNNNNNNNNNNNNNNNNNNNNNNNNNNNNNNNNNNNNNNNNNNNNNNNNNNNNNNNNNNNNNNNNNNNNNNNNNNNNNNNNNNAGGCGAAGCUCUUGAUCGAAGCCCCGGUAAACGGCGGCCGUAACUAUAACGGUCCUAAGGUAGCGAAAUUCCUUGUCGGGUAAGUUCCGACCUGCACGAAUGGCGUAAUGAUGGCCAGGCUGUCUCCACCCGAGACUCAGUGAAAUUGAACUCGCUGUGAAGAUGCAGUGUACCCGCGGCAAGACGGAAAGACCCCGUGAACCUUUACUAUAGCUUGACACUGAACAUUGAGCCUUGAUGUGUAGGAUAGGUGGGAGGCUUUGAAGUGUGGACGCCAGUCUGCAUGGAGCCGACCUUGAAAUACCACCCUUUAAUGUUUGAUGUUCUAACGUUGACCCGUAAUCCGGGUUGCGGACAGUGUCUGGUGGGUAGUUUGACUGGGGCGGUCUCCUCCUAAAGAGUAACGGAGGAGCACGAAGGUUGGCUAAUCCUGGUCGGACAUCAGGAGGUUAGUGCAAUGGCAUAAGCCAGCUUGACUGCGAGCGUGACGGCGCGAGCAGGUGCGAAAGCAGGUCAUAGUGAUCCGGUGGUUCUGAAUGGAAGGGCCAUCGCUCAACGGAUAAAAGGUACUCCGGGGAUAACAGGCUGAUACCGCCCAAGAGUUCAUAUCGACGGCGGUGUUUGGCACCUCGAUGUCGGCUCAUCACAUCCUGGGGCUGAAGUAGGUCCCAAGGGUAUGGCUGUUCGCCAUUUAAAGUGGUACGCGAGCUGGGUUUAGAACGUCGUGAGACAGUUCGGUCCCUAUCUGCCGUGGGCGCUGGAGAACUGAGGGGGGCUGCUCCUAGUACGAGAGGACCGGAGUGGACGCAUCACUGGUGUUCGGGUUGUCAUGCCAAUGGCACUGCCCGGUAGCUAAAUGCGGAAGAGAUAAGUGCUGAAAGCAUCUAAGCACGAAACUUGCCCCGAGAUGAGUUCUCCCUGACUCCUUGAGAGUCCUGAAGGAACGUUGAAGACGACGACGUUGAUAGGCCGGGUGUGUAAGCGCAGCGAUGCGUUGAGCUAACCGGUACUAAUGAACCGUGAGGCUUAACCUU
rnacentral:rRNA from 1 species